CUUCGAUAGCUCAGCUGGUAGAGCGGAGGACUGUAGUACUUAAUGUGUGGUCAUCCUUAGGUCGCUGGUUCGAUUCCGGCUCGAAGGAGACGCUGCUGUUUUGGGGUUUACGGUUGCUCUUCGUUUGUGCAAAAAAUCUCUGUAUCUUGACGUGAUCAAAUCUGUUUCUGUCUCUCACCCUUGUCCGAAGGAAACAGCUUAGCCGCGAGGUGGGCUGCGUUAAUCGCGUCUUGAAAAGUUGGUUACCUUUCUGAAAGAUAGUAGACCCGAAUCGUCCCACCGUUGGGGGAAGGC
rnacentral:tRNA from 10 species